ACGAAGGGUGCAAGCGUUACUCGGAAUUACUGGGCGUAAAGGGUGCGUAGGUGGUUUUUUAAGUCUGCUGUGAAAUCCCCGGGCUCAACCUGGGAACUGCAUUUGAAACUGGCAGGCUUGAGUCUUGUAGAGGGGGGUAGAAUUCUAGGUGUAGCGGUGAAAUGCGUAGAGAUCUGGAGGAACACCGGUGGCGAAGGCGGCAUCCUGGACCGGCAUUGACGCUGAUGAGCGAAAGCCAGGGGAGCAAACGGGA
rnacentral:rRNA from 1 species